rnacentral:rRNA from 1 species
GACUAACGCUGGCGGCGUGCCUAACACAUGCAAGUCGAACGCAUCUGUGCUUCGGUACAGAUGAGUGGCGAACGGGUGAGUAACACGUGAGUAACUCCCCUGGGGGAGGGGGAUAACCAUCUGAAAAGGUGGCUAAUACCCCAUAUUCUCUUUUCUCAUAAGAGGAAAGAGGAAAGAUGGCGUAAGCUAUCACCCCGAGAGAGGCUCGCGUCCCAUCAGCUAGUUGGUAAGGUAAGAGCUUACCAAGGCUAUGACGGGUAGCUGGUCUGAGAGGAUGGUCAGCCACACUGGGACUGAGACACGGCCCAGACUCCUACGGGAGGCAGCAGUGAGGAAUCUUGGGCAAUGGGCGAAAGCCUGACCCAGCGACGCCGCGUGGAGGAAGAAGGCCUUCGGGUCGUAAACUCCUGUUCGGGGAGAAGAACAGGAGGGAAGUGAAUAACUUCUCUCCCUGACGGUAUCCCCGGAGAAAGCUCCGGCUAAUUACGUGCCAGCAGCCGCGGUAAACUCG